CCUACGGGUGGCAGCAGUGGGGAAUAUUGGACAAUGGGCGAAAGCCUGAUCCAGCCAUGCCGCGUGUGUGAAGAAGGCCUUCGGGUUGUAAAGCACUUUCAGUGGGGAAGAAAGCCUUGGGGCUAAUACCCUCGAGGAAGGACAUCACCCACAGAAGAAGCACCGGCUAACUCCGUGCCAGCAGCCGCGGUAAUACGGAGGGUGCGAGCGUUAAUCGGAAUUACUGGGCGUAAAGCGCGCGUAGGCGGUCUGAUAAGCCGGUUGUGAAAGCCCCGGGCUCAACCUGGGAACGGCAUCCGGAACUGUCAGGCUAGAGUGCAGGAGAGGAAGGUAGAAUUCCCGGUGUAGCGGUGAAAUGCGUAGAGAUCGGGAGGAAUACCAGUGGCGAAGGCGGCCUUCUGGACUGACACUGACGCUGAGGUGCGAAAGCGUGGGUAGCAAACAGGAUUAGCUACCCCAGUAGUC
rnacentral:rRNA from 1 species